rnacentral:rRNA from 1 species
UACGGAUGGUGCAAGCGUUAUCCGGAUUUACUGGGUUUAAAGGGUGUGUAGGCGGACUAUUAAGUCAGUGGUGAAAUCCCGAGGCUCAACCUCGGAACUGCCUUUGAUACUAUUAGUCUUGAAUGUUGUUGAGGUGGGCGGAACGGGUCAUGUAGCGGUGAAAUGCAUAGAUAUGACCCGGAACACCGAUUGCGAAGGCAGCCCGCUAAGCAACUAUUGACGCUGAGGCACGAAAGCGUGGGGAUCAAACAGG